CUACGGGUGGCUGCAGUGGGGAAUAUUGCACAAUGGGCGCAAGCCUGAUGCAGCCAUGCCGCGUGUGUGCAGCAGGCCUUCGGGUUGUAAAGCACUUUCAGCGGGGAGGAAGGCGGUGAGGUUAAUAACCUCAUCGAUUGACGUUACCCGCAGAAGAAGCACCGGCUAACUCCGUGCCAGCAGCCGCGGUAAUACGGAGGGUGCAAGCGUUAAUCGGAAUUACUGGGCGUAAAGCGCACGCAGGCGGUCUGUCAAGUCGGAUGUGAAAUCCCCGGGCUCAACCUGGGAACUGCAUUCGAAACUGGCAGGCUAGAGUCUUGUAGAGGGGGGUAGAAUUCCAGGUGUAGCGGUGAAAUGCGUAGAGAUCUGGAGGAAUACCGGUGGCGAAGGCGGCCCCCUGGACAAAGACUGACGCUCAGGUGCGAAAGCGUGGGGAGCAAACAGGAUUAGAUACCCCAGUAGUC
rnacentral:rRNA from 1 species